rnacentral:rRNA from 1 species
CGAAGGGGGGCUAGCGUUGUUCGGAAUUACUGGGCGUAAAGCGCGCGCAGGCGGUCCUUCAAGUCAGAGGUGAAAGCCCAGAGCUCAACUCUGGAACGGCCUUUGAGACUAGAGGACUAGGGUAUGGGAGAGGUGAGUGGAAUUCCGAGUGUAGAGGUGAAAUUCGUAGAUAUUCGGAAGAACACCAGUGGCGAAGGCGGCUCACUGGCCCAUUACCGACGCUCAGGCGCGACAGCGUGGGGAGCAAACAGGAUUAGAUACCCUGGUAGUCCACGCCGUAAACGAUGGAUGCUAGCCGUUGGUAAGCAUGCUUAUCAGUGGCGCAGCUAACGCAUUAAGCGUCCCGCCUGGGGAGUACGGCCGCAAGGUUG